UGGCCGUACAAAAGGUUGGGAAACACUUUGCUACAGACGUCUGAUGAGAAUGACUCACCAGACUUGUCGGACGACGUCGAUUUGCCUUUGAUCUCACGGCUGAGGGAUGCCCUGAAAUCAAGCCUGUCUCACCACCCAGUAUUCUGGCCUAUGCCCCAUAAUCUCUCCCUCAAUUAACUCUCUCCAUCUCUCCUUCCCAUCUCGUGCACAUUGCCGAGCUCGCCAUGCCCUUCGUUGCCUCUCAUCUCUCGCCCAGCACGAGUUUCUGACCCACACCUCUGCGGCCUCCGUCGCACCUCAUCGUCGCGCCAACUUCUCCGUCGACCGCGCGUGGACUGACCCACCACCUGCCCGCCGACGAGCUCGUAACCUCCCUCGCCACCGUGCUUAAUUCCGCCAGGAUUAGGCCCUGUUUCACCUGCAGUUUUAGCCUCUGAUCCACUUCGCCUGAGCGCCUUCUUGGUUUGGAAACGAGGCCAGCUGGGAUAGGAUCUCUCACGCCAUGCAGGAGACAGGAGUAGUGUGGAUUGCCAGGUGACGUUGCAUCUCAGCGUCACAUGUACAGGUAGGCGACGAUGGAAGCACAGAAGAAGCUCGUAAGAUUCAACACGUCUUUCUGCAAGGCCACGGUGCCGUUGACAACGUCUUCGCACGUAUGCUUGCAGAUCGUGUUACUGUGGUAGAUGGUGCAGUGCUUCAUGAUCACCAUGGAAGCAAAUUCUCCGUUUAACUAAGACAGAUGUUCACAAUUGUGGAAAACUAUCCCGAUGUUUAAAUUAUAUAUAUUCCCUGUUUGUUUGAAACAAGUAUACGUUUGUAUGGAAGUAAUUCUCUGAUGUAUGAAAAUAGUAUCAUAAUGAUUUUGAAGCAAAAUA